AGUUCACCUUCCGUUCUCCCCACAGGCGUGCAGAGUCCGCCAUGGAAGCACAUCCGGCUGCCGCCAAGGUCUCCGGGAGCCGCGGCCUCUGCUUCCCAGGGCGAUGAAAGACUAGAGGCGCCUGGCGUCCCGCCUGCCUCAGGCGCUCUGGCUAGCCAGGCGGUAAGGGGAUCGGGCAGGCUGGCGGGCGGUCCCGCGGUGCCCACCUUUGCGCCGCCCCGCCCCCUGGGGGCUCUGCCGAGAGGGCGCCAGCCGCCCAUGCUGCCCCGGCGCCCAGCCGCGCCCGGUGCCCGCCACUGAAGCUCAGGACGCACCGCCGCCCGCGCCCACCGCCGUCCGCGCCCGUCGACUUGAGCCGACCAUCCUCCUGCCCCCAAGAUGUGGCACAGCGUCGGGCUGACCCUGCUUGUGUUCGUGGCCACGCUGCUGAUCGUCCUGCUGCUGAUGGUGUGCGGUUGGUAUUUUGUAUGGCAUCUUUUUUUUAAUCAAAAUUCAAGUUUCUCUGGGAACUGGUGGGAGACACGGGAUCCGAAGAGGGAGAUCAUGAACCUUCAGGGUCUGAAACUGAAGAAGACACUUCCUCCUCUCCAUACAGAAUCAGAUCUACUCGCCAAAGGAGGGCACCUGCUGAUGAAGGCCACUCACCCCACACAUAGUUCUGUACUCCUGAAGGAUGAAAGGCAGUUGCCAGCUUCUGUCUCUUAGUGACUUGGCGUUGAAAUUUACUAAUGACUGAAGACAUUUGUAUUGGAUUUUAAGUAUGCCAUAUAAAAUGUAAGCCAUAUAAAAAUAAAGGGAAUUAAAACCAAAUUGGACUAUUAUAAAUUUCAUCUUAAGGAUAAUCUUUUGUUUCACUAGCUUUCUACUUAGACACUUAUUCCUUGGCUUUUGGGCUUAUUUUCUCACACUGGUGCAGAUCUGGUAAACAUCAAAGGCUUGAAAAACCAUAUUUUAUUAGCCCUAAAAUGUUCAUUUUUCUCCCCAGUUUAACUUGUCAGAAAUUGGGAUGCUUCUCAUUACUGUCAACCAGGUGAUAGUCAUGUAAUUCUCCUACCUUGUACAUGUGCAAAUUUACAGCUUGUCAACGUGUAAUCCCUUUAACCAACAUGUGUAUUGUUGGAAUCAAAUGUGUCAGAUUUAAUAGACAUUUUAAAAUAUCUUCAAAAAGAUUACCCUAUGAUUCAGCAAUGAAAAGUUAUUGUGUAUGCAGAAAAGCAUGGAAACAGAGCAGCGGGGCGUACAUUUGAUAUCAGUGACGCAAAUAUUCAUCACUGGAGAAAUGAUCGAAAUUCCAUAUCUUCCUGCAAAGCAACAACAAAAUGUUUUACAGGACCUAAGAAAGGUAGAUACCCACAAGUAGACGAAGCUGUACUACAUUUUAUUAGUGAGACACAUGCAAAAGGAUUGCCUAUCACAAACCAAGCAAUGCAAUUGAAGGCAGGAGAAAUUGGCAAAACCCUGGGAACUGAUGAAACAAAAUUCAGAGCGACGAGAGGUUUGUGUGACCGAUUCAUGCAUCCAGCAGGACGGUCGUUUAGGCAUCCAACAUCGUUUUGCCCCAAGCUCCCUGCUGCUAUUAAACAGAAGACAGUGUUGGAGCACUCUUUCAAGAAGUGCUGUAUAACCAGUACUCUUCACAAGCCUCAGGUGACGUUAUGGGAAAAAAUGGAGACUUCAAUGACUGUGGUUUGAAAAGUGAUUCAGAAGAGUUGGAUUCAGAAUAUGAAGUUAUAAUUAUUACUUAACCAAUUUGUUUCACACAUUUUUUUUACAUAUGUGCAAGAUCGAUACGAUAAAAAUCUGUUUAACUCAAA